UACAGAGGGUGCAAACGUUGCUCGGAAUCAUUGGGCGUAAAGCGCACGUAGGCGGCCCAGCAAGUGGGGAGUGAAAGCCCUCGGCUUAACCGAGGAAGUGCUUUCCAAACUACUGGGCUUGAGUACUGAAGAGGGUCGCGGAAUUCCCGGUGUAGAGGUGAAAUUCGUAGAUAUCGGGAGGAACACCAGUGGCGAAGGCGGCUACCUGGGCAGAUACUGACGCUGAGGUGCGAAAGCGUGGGGAGCGAUCCGG
rnacentral:rRNA from 1 species